rnacentral:rRNA from 1 species
GACGAACGCUGGCGGCGUGCUUAACACAUGCAAGUCGAACGGAAAGGCCCUGCUUUUGUGGGGUGCUCGAGUGGCGAACGGGUGAGUAACACGUGAGUAACCUGCCCUUGACUUUGGGAUAACUUCAGGAAACUGGGGCUAAUACCGGAUAGGAGCUCCUGCUGCAUGGUGGGGGUUGGAAAGUUUCGGCGGUUGGGGAUGGACUCGCGGCUUAUCAGCUUGUUGGUGGGGUAGUGGCUUACCAAGGCUUUGACGGGUAGCCGGCCUGAGAGGGUGACCGGCCACAUUGGGACUGAGAUACGGCCUAGACUCCUACGGGAGGCAGCAGUGGGGAAUAUUGCACAAUGGGCGGAAGCCUAAUGCAGCAACGCCGCGUGCGGGAUGACGGCCUUCGGGUUGUAAACCGCUUUCGCCUGUGACGAAGCGUGAGUGACGGUAAUGGGUAAAGAAGCACCGGCUAACUACGUG